rnacentral:lncRNA from 1 species
UCUAACUCAGAUUGAUAAAAUAUAUUCGACAUCACUUAUAAACCUCUCUAAUGAUUCUCAAUAAAUAUGUAAUAUACUAAUAUUUUUAUAGCUUCAUAAUAGGACACACAUCAGCAAACAGAACAUAUGCGAAUUAUGCAACAAGAUGUUUUCAAGUGCCAGUACACUGUCGCGGCACAUGGCCAGCAAGCAUCAACCCGAAAAGAAAACUCGUGUAUGUAGGGAAUGUGGCAAAAGUUUUUCAAGAUCUGACGAUUUGAAAAGGCAUAUUCGAGUGCAUACUGGUGACAGACCAUUCAGUUGUGAAAAGUGUGGAAAAGCAUUUUCGCAAUCGUUCAGGUAAUUAUGAAGCUUUGUACACUUUGUAGACUGAGAUUGAACUCCUAAGGCUUCAGUAGAGAGAAGCUGAGACUGAAGCCUUAGGAGUUCAGUCUCAGUCGCAACUUGACUAACUUAGUGUAAACUAAUUUGACUUUAGUAUAAAUGGGUAUGAAAGAAUAUAAAUUUCAAAGAAUUCUAUCUUAAAAAGUUGAUAAAACACACGUUGAUAAAGUAGAGCUUCGCCUUUGAAUGUAUUUUUGCAUCAUGAGCUGUUAUAUUGUUUAUAUUCAGUCACUCCAAUUAUCCAUAUAACAAAACUACGGCUAAGAGCAACUCACUGUUUAAAAAAGUUUUCCAUUGCCGACUGUCGCACCGUCGUAUGCAAAGACAAUAAUAAAUAGACAAAGCUAGUCAUUCA